rnacentral:lncRNA from 1 species
GGGGGGCCGCAGUGCGACAGUGAAACGUAGACAAAUUCGGAAAACAACUCCCUUUCACACUCAGCGCCCCUGAGGAAAUACUGACCUCCUCGUAAAAAGGUCGCGGUUAGGCGGGUAGCCUGCAGGGGAGGGGAACCCAGAGAUCCAAAGUAGUUUGGAAAGCAUCCUGGUCUGGUGUCUGAGGCCUGAAAAGACUGCGUGUCUGUUCCCAGCACUCUGCAAGACUAGAAAAGGAGAAGGAACCUGUCCAGAAUCCCUGCAGGACAAGAAAAGGAGGGAAAAUCUCAACAUGGAAAAACUCUGCAAGGAAAAUGAAGGAAAGCCGGAAAGUGAGGGAAAGCCAGAGGAUGAAGUAGAGCCUGACAAUGAAGGAAAGUCGGAUGAGGAAGAAACACCAGAAGUGGAGGGGAAGUCAGCACAUGAGGGAAAGCUCCAGAACGAGGGACAACCAGAAGAUGAGGGAAAACCAGAAGACGAAGGGAAGCAAGAGAAGCAGGGCAAGUCGGAAGAUGAGGGAAAACCACCUGGUGAGGGCACGAUGGAGUCCCAGGCAAAGCCAGAGAGUGAGCCAAGG